rnacentral:rRNA from 1 species
AGAGUUUGAUCCUGGCUCAGGAUGAACGCUGGCGGCGUGCCUAACACAUGCAAGUCGAGCGAUCUCUUCGGAGAGAGCGGCGGACGGGUGAGUAACGCGUGGGUAACCUGCCCUGUACACACGGAUAACAUACCGAAAGGUAUACUAAUACGGGAUAACAUACGAAAGUCGCAUGGCUUUUGUAUCAAAGCUCCGGCGGUACAGGAUGGACCCGCGUCUGAUUAGCUAGUUGGUAAGGUAAUGGCUUACCAAGGCAACGAUCAGUAGCCGACCUGAGAGGGUGAUCGGCCACACUGGAACUGAGACACGGUCCAGACUCCUACGGGAGGCAGCAGUGGGGAAUAUUGCACAAUGGGCGAAAGCCUGAUGCAGCAACGCCGCGUGAGCGAUGAAGGCCUUCGGGUCGUAAAGCUCUGUCCUCAAGGAAGAUAAUGACGGUACUUGAGGAGGAAGCCCCGGCUAACUACGUGCCAGCAGCCGCGGUAAUACGUAGGGGGCUAGCGUUAUCCGGAAUUACUGGGCGUAAAGGGUGCGUAGGUGGUUUUUUAAGUCAGAAGUGAAAGGCUACGGCUCAACCGUAGUAAGCUUUUGAAACUAGAGAACUUGAGUGCAGGAGAGGAGAGUAGAAUUCCUAGUGUAGCGGUGAAAUGCGUAGAUAUUAGGAGGAAUACCAGUAGCGAAGGCGGCUCUCUGGACUGUAACUGACACUGAGGCACGAAAGCGUGGGGAGCAAACAGGAUUAGAUACCCUGGUAGUCCACGCCGUAAACGAUGAGUACUAGGUGUCGGGGGUUACCCCCCUCGGUGCCGCAGCUAACGCAUUAAGUACUCCGCCUGGGAAGUACGCUCGCAAGAGUAAAACUCAAAGGAAUCGACGGGGACCCGCACAAGUAGCGGAGCAUGUGGUUUAAUUCGAAGCAACGCGAAGAACCUUACCUAAGCUUGACAUCCCACUGACCUCUCCCUAAUCGGAGAUUUCCCUUCGGGGACAGUGGUGACAGGUGGUGCAUGGUUGUCGUCAGCUCGUGUCGUGAGAUGUUGGGUUAAGUCCCGCAACGAGCGCAACCCUUGCCUUUAGUUGCCAGCAUUAAGUUGGGCACUCUAGAGGGACUGCCGAGGAUAACUCGGAGGAAGGUGGGGAUGACGUCAAAUCAUUAUGCCCCUUAUGCUUAGGGCUACACACGUGCUACAAUGGGUGGUACAGAGGGUUGCCAAGCCGCGAGGUGGAGCUAAUCCCUUAAAGCCAUUCUCAGUUCGGAUUGUAGGCUGAAACUCGCCUACAUGAAGCUGGAGUUACUAGUAAUCGCAGAUCAGAAUGCUGCGGUGAAUGCGUUCCCGGGUCUUGCACUCACCGCCCGUCA